CGCGAGUCAGUGGGACUCGAUUAAGCCCACGGGCGCAAUGAGAGUGAAGUGUCGUGAUCCCGCGCUUCGGCGUGGGCGCAGCGACGGCCCGUCCAGCGUAGCUGGCGCCGGUCGGAGCCCGAGCGUACAGGUUGGUACCCGAAAGAUGGUGAACUAUGCCCGGGCAGGUUGAAGCUAGAGGAAACUCUGGUGGAGGACCGCAGCGGUUCUGACGUGCAAAUCGAUCGUCGAACCUGGGUAUAGGGGCGAAAGACUAAUCGAACCAUCUAGUAGCUGGUUCCCUCCGAAGUUUCCCCCAGGAUAGCUGGCGCUCUAAGAAAGCAGUCACGUCCGGCAGAGCGAAUGAUUAGAGGGCUCGGGGCCGAAACGACCUCGACCUAUUCUCAAACUUCUAAUGGGCCCGAUGGCCCGGGGUGCCUGAACGGACCUCGGGCGACUGAAGAUGUGAGUGCCAAGUGGGCCACUUUUGGUAAGCAGAACUGGCGCUGCGGGAUGAACCGAAAGCCGGGUUAAGGCGCCCGAUGCCGGACGCUCAUAAGACCCCAUGAAAGGUGUUGCUUGCUAUUGACAGCUGGGCGGUGGUCAUGGAAGUUGAAAUCCGCUAAGGAGUGUGUAACAACUCACCAGCCGAAGCAACCAGCCCUGAAAAUGGAUGGCGCUGAAGCGUCGGGCCUAGACCCGGCCGGCAAGGCAAAGAGAAAUUUUACUUGCUCUUUAGGCCGUCUCGAGUAGGAGGGUUGCCUCGGCGAGCGUCGAAGGUGCCGGGCGUGAGCCCGCCUGGAGCCGCCGAGGGUACAGAUCUUGGUGGUAGUAGCAAAUACUCGAGUGAGACCCUCGAGGACUGAGGUGGAGAAGGGUUCCAUGUGAACAGCAGUUGAACAUGGGUCAGUCGGUCCUUAGGGAUGGGCGAAAGCCUUUCCGAAGCGGGGCGUUACUCAAGUGAGCCCCGCCAUGACCGAAAGGGAAAGGGGUUAAUAUUCCCCUACCGGGACACGGAGAGUGGGGCCUUGGCUCCCAGUGCGGUAACGCAACCGAACUCGCUGACGUCGGCGGGAACUCCGGGAAGAGUUGUCUUUUCUUUGUAAGGGUCCGCGUCCAUGGAAGCUGCCUGUCAGGAGAUAUGGACUAAGGACCCGUAAAGCACCGCGGCUCUUGCGGUGUCCGGAGCGUUCCCGCCGGCCCUUGAAAAGGCGAGGGAGAGGUGUGAUUUUCGUGCCCGGCCGUACCCAUAUCCGCAGCAGGU
rnacentral:rRNA from 1 species